UGGGGUGUUUUGUUUGUGUUUUAUCUACUCUUACCACAACUUUGAGUUUGCUUUUAUUGUACUUGGAAUAUUAUAUCCUCAUGAGAUGAAUACUUGCCAUUCAUAUAUUUCAAGACUUCAGUUCCAGAUGAAAAUUGCAAUGUAAAAUUCUUAUAUUUUAUGAUCUACUUCUAACCUUCAUACAAACAUUUGGCAAAUCAGGCUGACUGACACCUCCCCUUCCACCCCCUUUGUCCACAUCCAUGUCUUCUAGACUGCUUUCCACCAAAGAAUAGGGCUCCAGGGCAAGUGUUUUAAGAAAUGGCAG